rnacentral:rRNA from 1 species
AAGUGCUUGCACUUCUGACGUUAGCGGCGGACGGGUGAGUAACACGUAAGGAACCUACCGAUAAGCGGGGGACAACAUCCGGAAACGGGUGCUAAUACCGCAUAGGAAAGGCCACCGCAUGGUGACCUUUGGAAAGACGGCUUUGCUGUCACUUAUCGAUGGCCUUGCGGUGCAUUAGCUCGUUGGUGGGGUAACGGCCUACCAAGGCAAUGAUGCAUAGCCG